UACAGAGGUGGCAAGCGUUGUUCGGAAUUACUGGGCGUAAAGCGUGUGUAGGCGGUCCGCUAAGUCGGGUGUGAAAGCCCUGGGCUCAACCCAGGAAGUGCACUCGAAACUGGCGGGCUAGAGUAUCGGAGAGGUUGGUGGAAUUCUCGGUGUAGAGGUGAAAUUCGUAGAUAUCGAGAGGAACACCGGUGGCGAAGGCGGCCAACUGGACGAAUACUGACGCUGAGACACGAAAGCGUGGGGAGCAAACAGG
rnacentral:rRNA from 1 species